GACGGAGGGCGCAAGCGUUGUUCGGAAUUACUGGGCGUAAAGCGCGGGCAGGUGGUUCGUUAAGUCGUUUGUGAAAAUCCGGGGCUCAACCCCGCGAAAUGCAGACGAUACUGGCGAGCUGGAGAUCGGUAGAGGCUAGCGGAAUUCCUGGUGUAGCGGUGGAAUGCGUAGAUAUCAGGAAGAACACCCGUGGCGAAGGCGGCUAGCUGGGCCGAGUCUGACACUCAUCCGCGAAAGCGUGGGGAGCAAACAGG
rnacentral:rRNA from 1 species